AUUGAACGCUGGCGGCAUGCUUUACACAUGCAAGUCGAACGGCAGCGCGGGCUUCGGCCUGGCGGCGAGUGGCGAACGGGUGAGUAAUGCAUCGGAACGUGCCCAGUAGUGGGGGAUAGCCCGGCGAAAGCCGGAUUAAUACCGCAUACGACCUGAGGGUGAAAGCGGGGGACCGAAAGGCCUCGCGCUAUUGGAGCGGCCGAUGUCGGAUUAGCUAGUUGGUGGGGUAAAGUCUUACCAAGGCGACGAUCCGUAGCUGGUCUGAGAGGAAGACCAGCCACACUGGGACUGAGACACGGCCCAGACUCCUACGGGAGGCAGCAGUGGGGAAUUUUGGACAAUGGGGGCAACCCUGAUCCAGCCAUGCCGCGUGCGGGAAGAAGGCCUUAGGGUUGUAAAACGCUUUUGUUCGGGAAGAAAUACUCUGGGCUAAUACCCCGGGGGGAUGACGGUACCGGAAGAAUAAGCACCGGCUAACUACGUG
rnacentral:rRNA from 1 species